rnacentral:tRNA from 1 species
GGGUGAUUAGCUCAGUUGGUUUAGAGCGCGCGCUUCACACGUGCGAGGUCACAGGUUCGAACCCUGUAUUACCCA